rnacentral:snRNA from 1 species
AUGCUCACUUCGGCAGCACAUAUACUAAAAUUGGAACGAUACAGAGAAGAUUAGCAUGGCCCCUGCACAAGGAAGA